ACGCAACGCGAAGAACCUUACCAGGCCUUGACAUACUCGGCAAAGCUCUAGAGAUAGAGUGGAGGUUAUCCGGGAUACAGGUGGUGCAUGGUUGUCGUCAGCUCGUGUCGUGAGAUGUUGGGUUAAGUCCCGCAACGAGCGCAACCCUUGUCUUUAGUUGCCAUCAUUAAGUUGGGCACUCUAAAGAGACUGCCGAUGACAAAUCGGAGGAAGGUGGGGAUGACGUCAAAUCAUCAUGCCCUUUAUGUCCUGGGCUACACACGUGCUACAAUGGUCGGUACAACGAGAAGCAAGUCAGCGAUGGCAAGCAAAUCUCUAAAAGCCGAUCCCAGUUCGGAUUGCAGGCUGCAACUCGCCUGCAUGAAGUCGGAGUUGCUAGUAAUCGCGGAUCAGAAUGCCGCGGUGAAUGCGUUCCCGGGUCUU
rnacentral:rRNA from 2 species